rnacentral:rRNA from 1 species
UAUCGUCUCAGUUCGGACUGUAGUCUGCAACUCGACUACACGAAGCCGGAAUCGCUAGUAAUCGCGAAUCAGAAUGUCGCGGUGAAUACGUUCCCGGGUCUUGUACACACCGCCCGUCACACCAUGGGAGUCGGAAAUGCCCGAAGUCAGUGACCUAACCGAAAGGGAGGAGCUGCCGAAGGUGGAGCCGGUAACUGGGGUGAAGUCGUAACAAGGUAAC